rnacentral:piRNA from 1 species
UGCCUUUGCUGAUCUGACAGGAGGCAGAGC